rnacentral:rRNA from 1 species
GGGCAAGCAGUUGGGAUUAUUGGCACGAUGAGGGGCAACCUGAAGGCAGGCAUGCGGGGUGUGGGUGGAAGAAGGGCUUCGGUAGUAAAGCACUUCAGCCAGGUGGAGGGAGGGCGGUAAUCGUAAUAGCUGUAUCGUUGGACCGUUAGCUGCCAGAAGGAGCCACCGGGCUAACUCGGUGCCAGGCAGCCGGUGGUAAUACGGAGGGGUGGCGAGCGUUAAUCGGGAAUUACUGGGGCGUAAAGGCGGCAUGCAGGCGGCUUGUUAAGGCCAGAUGUGAAAGCCCCGGGGGCUCAACCUCGGAAUCGCAUUGGAACUGGCAGGCUAGAGUCUUGUAGAGGGGGGGUAGAAUUCAGGUGUAGCGGUGAAAUGCGUAGAGAUCUGAAGGAAUACCGGUGGCGAAGGCGGCCCCCUGGACAAAGACUGACGCUCAGAUGCGAAAGCGUGGGGAGCAAACAGGAUUAGAUACCCUGGUAGUCCACGCCGUAAACGAUGUCUACUUGGAGGUUGGUGUCUUGAACACUGGCUUUCGGAGCUAACGCGUUAAGUAGACCGCCUGGGGAGUACGGUCGCAAGAUUAAAACUCAAAUGAAUUGACGGGGGCCCGCACAAGCGGUGGAGCAUGUGGUUUAAUUCGAUGCAACGCGAAGAACCUUACUUACUCUUGACAUCCACGGAAUCUUGCAGAGAUGCGGGAGUGCCUUCGGGAACUGUGAGACAGGUGCUGCAUGGCUGUCGUCAGCUCGUGUUGUGAAAUGUUGGGUUAAGUCCCGCAACGAGCGCAACCCUUAUCCUUGUUUGCCAGCACUUCGGGUGGGAACUCCAGGGAGACUGCCGGUGAUAAACCGGAGGAAGGUGGGGACGACGUCAAGUCAUCAUGGCCCUUACGAGUAGGGCUACACACGUGCUACAAUGGCAUAUACAGAGGGCAGCAAGACCGCGAGGUGGAGCGAAUCCCACAAAGUAUGUCGUAGUCCGGAUUGGAGUCUGCAACUCGACUCCAUGAAGUCGGAAUCGCUAGUAAUCGUGGAUCAGAAUGCCACGGUGAAUACGUUCCCGGGCCUUGUACACACCGCCCGUCACACCAUGGGAGUAGAGUCACCCGAAGUACAGGGUAAGUCGUAACAGAGGUAACCAUGCUAGAGUGUUCA